GUUGCUCAAAAAGUUAAACCGAGUUAUCAUAUUACUCUUAAAUAUACAUAUAAGAUAAAAUAUGUCCAUACAUAAAUCUGUAUACAAAUGUUUAUAAUAGCAGCAUUAUACAUACUAGUCAAAAGGUCACAAUAACUGAAAUGUUCAAUGGCUAAACAAAAAAGUGAUGUUUCCAUACAAGGGAGUAUUUUGGGGAAUAAGUUACUGAUAUAUACUUUAUAUAUAUGUUUCCAGGGUUGCUGUAAUAAAUUACACAAACUGAGUGGCUUAAACAACAGAAUGUAUUGUCUCAUAACUCUGGAGGCCACAAGUCUGAAAUCAGGGUAUUGUCAGGGUUGGUUCUUUCUGAGGGAUGUGAAAGAGAAUCUUUUCCAUUGCCUUUCCCCUAGCUCCUUAACAGCCUUUGUUAAAUAAAUAGUGUUCCCUUGUAUCUUCAUAGUAUCUUCCUGCUAUGUGUGUUCCAGUCCCUUUUGUAAGUAUACAGUCAGAGCUGAGAGUAUAGUUCAUUGGUAGAAUAUUUCCCUAAUAUGCACAGUGAUCUAGGUUUGAUCCCCAGCACUGCAAACAAACAGAAAAGAUACAAUUACAUUGGAUUAGAGGCCCAAUGACCUCUUAAUAACUUGAUCAUCUCCAAAGAUGGUUCCAAGUAAGGUUUCCAAGUAAGGUCACAUUCAUAGCUGUUGGAGUUAGUAGUUUAACAACUUUUGGGGGGACACAGUUCAACACAAUAAUAGAUGAGGAGCAGAAGGUGUAACUCAGUUGUCUAGGAUGAACAAGUCACUGGGUUUGAUUCCCCAGUACCAAUAAAUAAACCCUGAAAAUACUAUAUUAGGGUGCAGUGAGUGGCCCAUGCCUGUAAUCCCUAGGGACUCAGAAGGUUGAGGCUGAAGAACUGCAAGUUUGAGGACAGCCUCAGCAACUCAGCAAGAUGCUGUCUCUCUCUCUCUCUCUCUCUCUCUCUCACACACACACACACACACACACAUACACAAAGCAGGGGCUGAUGUAGCUCAGCAAUAGAGCACCUCUGAGUUCAAAAAGAAAAUAUUAAGGGCUAGGGAUGUGGCUCAAGUGGUAGCAUGCUCGCCUGGCAUGCGUGUGGCCCG
rnacentral:lncRNA from 1 species